GCAAGUCGAACGAGAAAGCUUCUUCGGAAGUGAGUAGAGUGGCGCACGGGUGAGUAACGCGUGGGUAUCUACCCUUUGGCGGGGGACAACAUUUGGAAACGAAUGCUAAUACCGCAUAAGUCGGCUUCGGCCGGGAAAGGUGGCUUCGGCUACCGCCAUAGGAUGAGCCCGCGUCCCAUCAGCUAGUUGGUAGGGUAAGAGCCUACCAAGGCAACGACGGGUAGCUGGUCUGAGAGGAUGAUC
rnacentral:rRNA from 1 species